GGACUAUAAAAUAUUGCACAAAGAAAUCUGAAGUUCAAGAAGACCUAAAGAAAUGGAGAAAUAUGUUCAUGGACUGUUGGAAGAAUGUCGUUGCUCCUCUCCAAGACCAUGGACUCCAUAUGCUGCAGAUACCAUCUCCUCUCAUCUUACCAAGAACUGGACUCCUGAGAAGUUCUGUCCCAUCUGCCACCAGCAAAUCCUCCUCUGAAUCAGAUCAUUUCACUUGCCUCUAUCAUCUCCUGUCAUUUCAAACCCCUCCUUGACCUCAUGUGCACAUCCAGCUACUGUGUUUC
rnacentral:lncRNA from 1 species